rnacentral:rRNA from 1 species
UACGAAGGGUGCUAGCGUUGUUCGGAAUCACUGGGCGUAAAGCGCGCGUAGGCGGCUUAGCAAGUCAGGGGUGAAAGCCCACAGCUCAACUGUGGAAUUGCCCUUGAAACUGCUAAGCUUGAGUGUCGGAGGGGAUAGCGGAAUUGCUAAUGUAGAGGUGAAAUUCGUAGAUAUUAGCAGGAACACCGGUGGCGAAGGCGGCUAUCUGGACGACAACUGACGCUGAGGCGCGAAAGCGUGGGGAUCAAACAGG